rnacentral:rRNA from 1 species
GCCGCGUGAAGGAUGAAGGCUUUAGGGUNGUAAACUUCUGUUKGUGGGAAGAAAGAUUUGCCAGUAAUAUGGGCAAAGGAUGACGGUACCAUUAGAGAAAGCACCGGCUAACUUCGUGCCAGCAGCCGCGGUAAUACGAGGGGUGCAAGCGUUAUUCGGAAUUACUGGGCGUAUAGGGUACGCAGGCGGUUUAUUAAGUCAACUGUCUAAUUUCUCGGCCUAACCGAGAGUCAGCAGUAGAUACUGGUAGACUAGAGGGUGAGAGAGAGAAGUGGAAUUCUCGGAGUAGCGGUAAAAUGCGUAGAUCUCGAGAGGAACACCGAUGGCGAAGGCAGCUUCUUGGCUCAUUUCUGACGCUCAUGUACGAAAGCGUGGGGAGCAAACAGGAUUAGAUACCCUGGUAGUCCACGCUGUAAACGAUGAUCACUAGAUGUCAGUUCCGCUUUAGGAAUUGGUAUCGUAGCUAACGCGUUAAGUGAUCCGCCUGGGGAGUACGAUCGCAAGGUUAAAACUCAAAGAAAUUGACGGGGGUCCGCACAAGCGGUGGAACAUGUGGUUUAAUUCGUCACACGCGAGGUAACCUUACCUGGGUUUGACAUGCUUUUGACCGCUGUAGAAAUACAGUUUUUCAAGUUUACUUGGACAAUUGCACAGGUGCUGCAUGGUUGUCGUCAGCUCGUGUCGUGAGAUGUCUGGUUAAGUCCUUUAACGAGCGCAACUCCUGUCGUUAGUUGCUAUCCUUCGGGAGCACUCUAGCGAGACUGCCUGGGAAACCGGAGGAAGGUGGGAAUGACGUCAAAUCAUCAUGGUCCUUAUACCCAGGGCUACACACGUGUUACAAUGGCUGGUACAACGGGCUGCAAUCCUGUAAAGGUGAGCUAAUCCAUAAAGCCAGUCUAAGUUCGGAUUGAGGUCUGCAACUCGACCUCAUGAAGUUGAAAUCGCUAGUAAUCGCGUAUCAGAACGGCGCGGUGAAUACGUUCUCGGACCUUGUACACACCGCCCGUCACACCACGAGAGCUGUCUGUACCCGAAGUCACUUUUGCUAACCAUUUAUGGAGGCGGGUGCCGAAGGUAGGGGGGGAUGGGGG